UACGUAGGGUGCGAGCGUUGUCCGGAAUUACUGGGCGUAAAGAGCUCGUAGGUGGUUUGUCGCGUUGGUCGUGAAAACCGGAGGCUUAACCAUCGACGUGCGGGCGAUACGGGCAGACUGGAGUACGGCAGGGGAGACUGGAAUUCCUGGUGUAGCGGUGGAAUGCGCAGAUAUCAGGAGGAACACCGGUGGCGAAGGCGGGUCUCUGGGCAGUAACUGACGCUGAGGAGAGAAAGCGUGGGGAGCGAACAGG
rnacentral:rRNA from 1 species